rnacentral:lncRNA from 13 species
UAUUUGCACAUACACUUACACACUGCAACUUAUGUGAGCCUGACACAUACACACACACACUACAUCUCAUGUGACCACACACACUCACGUUUAACUCUCUCCGUAGGAUAUUCUUGGAUGUGCUCUUAGUGCCCCGCUGCCAUCUUACCAGACCAUCUAUGCUCUGCCUAUGCUCACCAUCAAGCAGGACAACGGUAUUGGAAUAGUCAAGAAUGCUCCAAAUACCACUUAAUUGCUUCCAUGAUGUCUCUGCUCCAGCACGUCAAGAUCGGCCUUGAGGCCUUCCUCCUUUUGAAGAGCUAAAGCACUGGAAUUGUCACCAGCGUUCCGUCCGAUGCACCCAAUGACAUCGCUGCCCUCAGGGAUAUAAAAAAGAAACAGGUGAUGCUUUAACUGUACUACUUCAUUAUUUACCUUGUGCUUGUUUGUGGCUACUGGUCUAUAUUAGCUAACCUAUGCAUUGCAAAAUAUGUUUUGGUCAAUGAAGUAAUUGGAGAUCACUUGGAUUCCUCUUAUAGGUCCUGAGAGAAAAAUAUGGAAUCCAUUUUUUUUUUUUUUUUACAUUUUAUUUAUAAAUACAAGAUGGUCUUACCUUUUGAGCUGGUAAGCUGCCUCUCGCAACCUUUAUUUGGUUAUAAAUGACCAGACAGUGUACUGUGUGCCUUGUACUCACGCUGCUCUACUCCAUCUGCCCAUCAUUGAGAUCCCUGGCUAUGGGAACCUGUCGGCUCCUCCAGUUCUGUGACCAGUUGACGAUCCCGAGCCAGAAUGACCUUGAGAAGCUGGCAGAGGCCAAGAAAAGGGUCUACCUCGAGGGCUUCUAUGAAGGAAUCAUGCAGGUUGAAGGCUAG